GACGAACGCUGGCGGCGUGCUUAACACAUGCAAGUCGAACGGUGAAGCCCUUCGGGGUGGAUCAGUGGCGAACGGGUGAGUAACACGUGAGCAACCUGCCCCUGGCUCUGGGACAACCACUGGAAACGGUGGCUAAUACCGGAUACGACCCGCCUCGGCAUCGAGUGUGGGUGGAAAGUUUUUCGGCUGGGGAUGGGCUCGCGGCCUAUCAGCUUGUUGGUGAGGUGAAGGCUCACCAAGGCGACGACGGGUAGCCGGCCUGAGAGGGGGACCGGCCACACUGGGACUGAGACACGGCCCAGACUCCUACGGGAGGCAGCAGUGGGGAAUAUUGCACAAUGGGCGAAAGCCUGAUGCAGCGACGCCGCGUGAGGGAUGACGGCCUUCGGGUUGUAAACCUCUUUCAGCUCCGAAGAAGCGAAAGUGACGGUAGGAGCAGAAGAAGCACCGGCUAACUACGUG
rnacentral:rRNA from 1 species